GACGAACGCUGGCGGCGUGCUUAACACAUGCAAGUCGAACGGAAAGGCCCUGCUUUUGUGGGGUGCUCGAGUGGCGAACGGGUGAGUAACACGUGAGUAACCUGCCCUUGACUUUGGGAUAACUUCAGGAAACUGGGGCUAAUACCGGAUAGGAGCUCCUGCUGCAUGGUGGGGGUUGGAAAGUUUCGGCGGUUGGGGAUGGACUCGCGGCUUAUCAGCUUGUUGGUGGGGUAGUGGCUUACCAAGGCUUUGACGGGUAGCCGGCCUGAGAGGGUGACCGGCCACAUUGGGACUGAGAUACGGCCCAGACUCAUACGGGAGGCAGCAGUGGGGAAUAUUGCACAAUGGGCGGAAGCCUGAUGCAGCAACGCCGCGUGCGGGAGGACGGCCUUCGGGUUGUAAACCGCUUUCGCCUGUGACGAAGCGUGAGUGACGGUAAUGGGGAAAGAAGCACCGGCUAACUACGU
rnacentral:rRNA from 1 species